rnacentral:rRNA from 1 species
AUUGAACGCUGGCGGCAUGCUUUACACAUGCAAGUCGAACGGUAACAGGGUGCUUGCACCGCUGACGAGUGGCGAACGGGUGAGUAAUGCAUCGGAACGUAUCCAAUAAUGGGGGAUAACGCAUCGAAAGGUGUGCUAAUACCGCAUACGCCCUGAGGGGGAAAGUGGGGGACCGUAAGGCCUCACGUUAAUGGAGCGGCGGAUGCCUGAUUAGCUAGUUGGUGAGGUAAAGGCUCACCAAGGCGACGAUCAGUAGCUGGUCUGAGAGGACGACCAGCCACACUGGAACUGAGACACGGUCCAGACUCCUACGGGAGGCAGCAGUGGGGAAUUUUGGACAAUGGGCGCAAGCCUGAUCCAGCCAUGCCGCGUGAGUGAAGAAGGCCUUCGGGUUGUAAAGCUCUUUCGCAAGGGAAGAAAAGACACUCAAUAACACCGGGUGUUCAUGACGGUACCUUGAUAAGAAGCACCGGCUAACUACGUGCCAGCAGCCGCCGCAGUAC